CUUGCUUCUCUUUGAGAGCGGCGGACGGGUGAGUAAUGCCUAGGAAUCUGCCUGGUAGUGGGGGAUAACGUCCGGAAACGGACGCUAAUACCGCAUACGUCCUACGGGAGAAAGCAGGGGACCUUCGGGCCUUGCGCUAUCAGAUGAGCCUAGGUCGGAUUAGCUAGUUGGUGGGGUAAUGGCUCACCAAGGCGACGAUCCGUAACUGGUCUGAGAGGAUGAUCAGUCACACUGGAACUGAGACACGGUCCAGACUCCUACGGGAGGCAGCAGUGGGGAAUAUUGGACAAUGGGCGAAAGCCUGAUCCAGCCAUGCCGCGUGUGUGAAGAAGGUCUUCGGAUUGUAAAGCACUUUAAGUUGGGAGGAAGGGCAGUAAAUUAAUACUUUGCUGUUUUGACGUUACCGACAGAAUAAGCACCGGCUAACUCUGUGCCAGCAGCCGCGGUAAUACAGAGGGUGCAAGCGUUAAUCGGAAUUACUGGGCGUAAAGCGCGCGUAGGUGGUUCGUUAAGUUGGAUGUGAAAUCCCCGGGCUCAACCUGGGAACUGCAUUCAAAACUGACGAGCUAGAGUAUGGUAGAGGGUGGUGGAAUUUCCUGUGUAGCGGUGAUAUGCGUAGAUAUAGGAAGGAACACCAGUGGCGAAGGCGACCACCUGGACUGAUACUGACACUGAGGUGCGAAAGCGUGGGGAGCAAACAGG
rnacentral:rRNA from 1 species